AGUGAACGCUGGCGGUAGGCCUAACACAUGCAAGUCGAACGGCAGCACAGUAAGAGCUUGCUCUUACGGGUGGCGAGUGGCGGACGGGUGAGGAAUACAUCGGAAUCUACUUUUUCGUGGGGGAUAACGUAGGGAAACUUACGCUAAUACCGCAUACGACCUACGGGUGAAAGCAGGGGAUCUUCGGACCUUGCGCGAUUGAAUGAGCCGAUGUCGGAUUAGCUAGUUGGCUGGGUAAAGGCCCACCAAGGCGACGAUCCGUAGCUGGUCUGAGAGGAUGAUCAGCCACACUGGAACUGAGACACGGUCCAGACUCCUACGGGAGGCAGCAGUAGGGAAUAUUGGACAAUGGGCGCAAGCCUGAUCCAGCCAUACCGCGUGGGUGAAGAAGGCCUUCGGGUUGUAAAGCCCUUUUGUUGGGAAAGAAAAGCAGCAGGUUAAUACCCCGCUGUUCUGACGGUACCCAAAGAAUAAGCACCGGCUAACUUCGUG
rnacentral:rRNA from 1 species